rnacentral:rRNA from 1 species
GAUGAACGCUGGCGGCGUGCCUAAUACAUGCAAGUCGAGCGAACAGACGAUGCUCUUGCUCCUCUGACGUUAGCGGCGGACGGGUGAGUAACACGUGUAUAACCUCCCUAUAUUACUGGGAUAACUUCGGGAAACCGGCGCUAAUACCGUAUAAUAUAUUGAUCCGCAUGGUUCAAUAGUGAAAGACGGUUUUUCUGUCUCUUAUCGCUGGAUCCGCGCCUCAUUAUCUAGUUGGUAAUGUAACAGCUUACCAAGGGAACGAUGCGUAGCCGAACUGAGAGGGGGAUGGGCGACAGAGAAGCUGAGACGCGGCACAGAAGCCGACGGGAGGCAGAAGUAGGGAAGAUACCGAAAAGGGCGAAAGACUGACGGAGGAACGCCGCGUGAGUGAUGAAGGUCUGCGGAUCGUAAAACGGUGUUAGUAGGGAAGAACAAAUGUGUAAGUAACUAUGCACGUCUUGACGGUACGGAAAAAGAAAGACACGGAUAACUACGU